rnacentral:rRNA from 1 species
GACGAACGCUGGCGGCGUGCUUAACACAUGCAAGUCGAGCGGAAAGGCCCUGCUUUUGUGUGGUUCUCGAUUGGCGAACGGGUGAGUAACACGUGAGUAACCUGCCCUUGACUUUGUGAUAACUUCAGGGGACUGGGGCUAUUACCGGAGAUAAUCUUCUGCUGCAUAUGGUUGGUUGGAGAGUGUCGGCGGUUGGGGAUGGACUCGCGGCUUAUGAGCUGGUUUGUGUGGUAGUGACUUACCAAGGGUUUGACGGGUAGCCGGCAUGAGAGGGUUACCGGGGACCUUGCGACUGCGGUACGGACCAGAAUGCAACGGGAGGCAGUAGUGGGGAAUAUUGCAGAACGGGCGGACGCCUGAUGUAGAAAUGCCGCGUGCGGGAUGCUGGCCUACGGGUUGUAAACAGAUUUCGAAUGAGAUGAAGAGUGAGUGACGGUAAUGGGUAAAGAAGCAACGGCUAACUACGUG